GGUGGCUCAGUGGUAGAGUGCUUGCCUUGCAUGCAAGAGGCCCUGUGUUCAAUUCCUCAGCACCA
rnacentral:tRNA from 1 species